UCAAUUUUCAUCACAUCUUUUACUUUCAAAAAUUAUCAAGAAUAUGUUAACCACAGCAAUUUUAAAUCUUUUGUCAUCUAUGGAUGGUUUUGUGUUUUUCACCGAUGCUUCCCAUCAAGCACUUGCAAAUCUGUUACAGGCCAGAGGACUUUGUUUCAAUGAAAAAGGACUGACUCGGAGAUACAUGGAAAAGAAUUAUGCUACGUACUCUUGUGUAAAAGUUUCUAAUUACAUUGCUUAAAUAACUUUGGGACCAAAACAAUGAACUGAGUCAGGAAUUCCAGAACUCUAGUUGAGAAAGAGAUGGGUUCAUAAGCCUACUAAUCCGGUGGGACAAAAGCUAAUUACAGAGGAGUGAAUAAACUGAUGACGGAUAAUUAUGGGACUUUUUUGGAAUAGGGCUAUGGCUUUAAUGUUUUAUUUUCUGGACAUAAAUAACCUCCUCCUCUUUUUUAAGCUAUCACUCAUAACAAUUUUAAGGACUAUGCUCAUUCCUUGUAAACAGAAAUGAAACUUGAUUUUUCUCCUCAACUCCCCCUUUCAAAAUUUGGAAACUCCAAUUGAGUCUUCUUAUCUUCAUGGCAAUAUAGUUAUUUGCAUAGGUUCCAUAAGAGUCUGUCCUCCUUGUUAACAGGACACGAACAAAACCAUUGGUAAUAAAACCAAGCUUUGCCUGGAUCUCAUAUUUGAGAAUGAUGCUUAUUUGAUCAGAUAUGACCAGACGCUUUUAAGGAACUCAAGUUGACCUUAUGGGACCAAUGCUUCCAAAGCGCCUCUUGUGAAAACUGGCUUGAAACCUGGCUUUGCAGGGUUCACAGCUUUGCAGGUGAGCAAGGAAUGUCAUUUCCCAGCAGGUUCUGGAAACUUAGGAUAUUUGUGGGAUCUCAAGGAAAAAGGGAUGCCUGCCAAAUCGAUAGGUACUGCAUGUGAAAUCCGAUGUGAGUUUUUGGCAUGGCUUCUCAUCCUCAGGAGGCUUUGAAAAGUUCAACUUGACAUUCUUUAUGAAAACUUCCAGCAAAGCAAAUAUAAGAAAAUCGAUAUGUAGAUUGCCACUUUUGCUGUACCUAUGCAAAUAACCAGGCCAAAUCUCAUGAGCCCAAUCUUAAUCAGUCACCAAAAACAAUCUUUCUUUGAGAUUAUCUUUGAUCAAAAGGGGAGGAGUAACUGUAGAAAGAAAAUUUGUGUUUCCAUGGGAAAUCAUAGCACGUCCUUCUGGAUUAUCAGAUCCUGAUCCUGUUUAUUUUUGUUUGAGCUAUCUAGGACCUCUUUGUAAACUGCAGGUAACUGAUCGAUAUGCAAACUGUCUCUUGUCUGGUAGAGAUUUAAUUGGCUUUCCCGCACACUAUGGGAAAACCAGUUUUUGUAACUACUAAUAAAUUGUACUUGAAUGUGCUAUCUUGCACAAAUUGUCAAUUAUUACUAAAUUUUCAAAUCUUCCAAUUUCCCUCAAUAUCUAGCUAUAAAUCCCUAAACUAACCUUCCAAUUUUUCUCCUUUUCUCUUUACUCAGAGUCACUGAGAAAACCUUACUAUCCAGAUCCCAAUUCAGACCCUAAGUUGCCUUGUGGCUGGCCCCCAGGCUCUGAAGAAUUACUGCAAGCUCAAGUCUGAUUACUUGUUUUAAACCUGCAAAGACCCAUCAUUGCUAGCAGACUAUGCAUGGGUUCUCUUUUCCUCUGGACAAGGCCUGACUGGAACACAAAAGAAGUAUGGGGAAAUGCCCAGGUCAUGCAUGUUCUGAUACAAGAGGUAACCCAGACUCUGGGUCACAUUACCAAGACCAUCAAAAUGCUCAAAGAGCAAUGCUGCAUGAUCAAAAGGGUUCAUCCACUAACCUCUUGGAACUCUCUGGAAUAGUUACCCUUGGAUUUAACUUCUGUAUUUCUCACUUUAGUAUAUCCUUUUAUAUUAACAUGUCUCUUUUUUCCUUUUAGGCAUCCCACUUUUAAGAUGCCUGAUCUGAAGGGCACUAAAACAACUGACCUUUGCCAGCAUGCCCCACAGAUGGUUCAGCUAGUCCUCCAGGAACAACACUGAAGCUUCAGCUGAUAAUUUAGAAGAGAGUAGAUGGAAAAUAUUUUUCCCUCCUGUCCAAAUGCAAGGAUAAUCUUACAUGAGUCCAGGAGGAAGCAGCCCAUCUUGGAAAGGCAUUUCCUUAGCAUUCCUGUUUGUCUCGUGCCAGCUCGCCAGCCAGGGGGCCCACCGAGAGGUGAGCCAGGGGAAAGUGAGUGAGCGCACAGACUCAUAGUGCAAACUGCAGCUCCGCUUAGCACAGGGGAGCUGAUCUGUGUUGACUCAUGCCAGCAAAAGCCACCUUUCCCAAGCUCUGUUACCUCUCCAGCAUAAGUUCCUGUUGCCUGAUUGCAUCUGGUGAGUCAAAUUUUUGUGGGGUAGAGCCCAGGUAUAACUGAGACAAUAGGACUCUUUCCCACUAGUGGAGAACUAAGCUUUUGCAAUGAAAAAGACAGAGGGAAAAAAUAACCCAUAUUGCCCUAAGACAAUUCAGAUUAAGAGUAAGACACUCAAAUUUUAGCAACUCAAAAGGGAGGCAGAAACAGCUACAGCUACUGGGGACAUGGGAGGAUGCCUAGGAAGGAAGUGGUUCUAGGCACUGGCACUGGAGAAGACAUAGCAUGUCCUAUCUCCUGAAGAAAUAAAACUAACAGAAAUUACUUAUAUAGCAUGCACUGUAUGUCAGGAACUAUUGUAAACACUUUAUAAAAUAAAUAUAAAUUAUUUAAUCUUCACAGCAACAGUACAACAUAAAUACUGUGAGAGCCCCCACUUUACAGAUGGCAAAACUAAGUCAGAGACAGGUUAAGUCACUUAAAUUCACAGAGCUAAUCAGCGGUAGACUCUAGGCAGUCUGGCUCCAAAGUCAAUGCUUUUACCAAUCCCUCAACCCCAUACUACAUGAAGAAUCAAUUUUACUAUGAACAUGGGCUCCUAAUUAGAUAGGUAGACAAGCCCUGGAAUUCUCCAGAGGUCAGAAACCUGCAAAAGAGCAAGCACUCUGAAGCUCAAGCCUUGCAGACAGCUAAGCAUUGAUAAGACCAGCUGUGUCUACGCCUUCCUUCUCCAUUCAUUCACUAGUAGUCAUUGGACCCAUUAGAGUUUGUAGAUAUGAACUGAGUUUGUACUCUGAUAGUUUUUUUUAAAAAGCGAAUCACAAAGUUUGAUUUUCCAGCUACCAUAGUCUAGUUUCAUACAGAGUGGAGACUAUCUGAGACUCAGAGAGAGCAAGUGGAUGUUUGGAGAGUAGCCGUCUGUGAGUAGAUAACUUGAUCUGUGCGGGCCGUGCUGUGCUGUUUCUGCGCUUAUGGAGAUUCCAGUCUAAAAGGAAAGGCCAGUAUUAAUCACCUAAUCCAUUAGUGAAUGCUACCUGCAAAGCAGGUGAGGUGCGCUGAAGGAAAGGAAGACAGGUCAAUAUCAGGGACUCACAAAGGAAGCUGAGCUGGCCCUGGAGCAGCAGAAGGGCUUGGCUUGAGAAACAGGUGCUUGGAUUGAGAGCUGAAAGAUGAAAAGGCUUUUUUUUUUUUAAGGUGGCACAAGAAAAAAGAUGAGAAGAUAAUUCUAGGUGGUAUAAAUGGCACUUGCAAAGGCAAGAGAGGGCAGGCUCUGAAGCCUCCUGGUAAGGCCAGCCCCAAGGCAGGGAGCAGGGUACGGAAUGAGUUGAGGCUGGAGUGGCAAGGAGCGGCAGGCCAUGCAGCAAUGGACAGAGUCACGAUCUCUGUGCAAAGAGCACUGGGGAGCCAUGGAAGGACAUAGACAGAGCAGUGGCAUGAAGCAAGAAACACCUAACGUAUCUAAUAAGUGACUAGACUAAUACUCAAACUCAGAUCCUUUGCCCUUCUUCCUCCCAAUCUCCAACCUCACUGCGUUUCACCAGCCCAGGAAGUUCUGCCAGUAGAGGUCCUCAACAAGCCACACAGAUCACAAACCUCAGGGUUGGCAGGGACUUGGCUGUCUUGGAGACACAUCCACUGGCUAAGCACUCCCUUGAACUCUCUGAAUCCCAGCCCAUCUCCAGUCCGUGUGAAACUAGAUUCCUGGAUUCAGCAUAUGCUUAAUAGCUGAGUCAUCUCUAUCAAAUUAAAUCACUUCUAUGAGCCUUCCUUUCUACACCUGCACAACGGGAGUGCCAGUGUCAACUGAUCAUUAAGAUAAUGUAGGUGAUGUUUUCAGCACCAUAGCCAAUCCUUAGCAGAUGCCCAAAGAGUGACAAUUGAAUCUGAAUUCAACCAUUCAUCUUGAGCUAUAUCUUCCUCCCACCUCAGCUGUGACAGCUCUAAGACAUUAUCCUGCAUAUCAGACCGGGCUUAUCAUUAAAUAAGCCUAUUAGUCCACUAAAUAAUUAUGCAGGUUAUAGCAACCCAUAGCUAAAACAGAAAUUUUUAAAAAAUAAUAAAAUUACCCACAGUGGAGAAAGGAGAAACUGAAGAAACGUCAUCUUUCUGGUAUAAUUUUCCAUGUUUUAUUCCUGGAAAAAUAGCCAGCAUAAGUUUGCAUGGUGUUUAAAAAAUUAAUGUCACCUCACCAGAAGACAAUGAGUUAAAUAUUUCCAUUGAAAAUAAGCAUUUGAAAACAGUCUCUAUUUGUAUAUUUCUUCAUCUAUUCAAUUUA